rnacentral:lncRNA from 1 species
GUGGAGUCUCUCAUCCGUCCAGCACCCCUGACCUCUGAGGGGGGUCCCAAGUGGGGUCUCUUGUCCGUCCAGCACCCUGACUUAUGAGGGGGGUCCCAAGUGGGUUGGGGUCUCUUGGCCCAGGGCUUUGCUGCUGAGGGAAGGAUGGGCCAACUCUACAGUUCUGUGAUUCUUGGGGUUGGGAUGGACAUACCAAUUUUAUUGUUUUGUAAAAUGUUUCUGCUGCUUGACUCACCCAUAUUACUGCCAGCUAGGGAUGGGCGAAUCUGUCCUCCUAGGUUUUCUUCAGUUCCUCAUUUUUCAGAACUUAAAUUCGGUUUCCCGCAUAUCUGUUUGCGAUUUAAGGGGGGGGGGGAGUCAUAAAAAGUCAUGAGUUUCGUGUGAAUUUUUUGUAAUACGUGUUUGCAGUUUUGCCUUUUUCUAGAGCAGCUUCCCCUAAUGCAAUGCAUUUUUGUAUUUUAUUGUUGAUAACAAACUUUUUUGUGCACACUUUUGUCACAUUGUGUGCAUUUUGUACAUAUUACUGAAGAACUGCGUUGCAAAUUUGCUCUGAAUUUUGCAUAUUUUGAGAGAUAGCUGUGUUUUCAGUUGGCAUAUUGCUUUUGAGAGUGCAGAUUAGGUAGGUUUGCCUUUAAAUGUGAACUGAAUUAACUAUCUCUCCCACUGCUACCACCAGCUCAUAAACAUAGUGUAGUGUACAGCAUACCUGACUUGAGGCAAGCUAAUUCUGUUUUAGUAGGGAGUGGGGAGAGAUGCAAUUGAACCUUGCCUUAAAACUCUACGUGAUUAGGUUUAACAUACUACUACUUUCCCCAUCCAAAAUUUCAUUUUUAACCCUUGCAGUUUUCAUUUGUUUCUUUCAAGUGUGGCAUCUGUUUAUCCUGUCUGGGAAUAGCAGAAACAGGUACUGAAACUGAUAGGCAACAAAAUAGUUCUCAUUCCAAAAGACAAAUCACCCUAUCAUUUCGUUCAGCUUACUUAUGAUGCAGUAAUGUCUCUACAUCUUAAAUGUUAUACAACAAAAUGGUGCUUUUGGCAUGGUAUGUUCUUAUUAAAAGUUAGGCAGCGAAGCCAGAAGCUUUUGAUUUGUUCAUUAGGAAAUUUAGCAUUGAUCCCUUUGUGCUUAGAGGAAUGAUGUCUGAUAGGGAUUGAUUAAACUUAAGAAGCAGCAUAUUUAAAUGCAACAAUGAUGGUGAGACAGCGGUAGAACAUUGUGUUUGCCUUUCUUUCCUUUGCUUUCAAAGCAGGUCUUGGAAAGGAAUUUCUUACUCCAGGGACCCAUGCUGUCUGUAAAUUAUAAAAGAGGAAACUGAAUAUCAUGGAUGGCGGUGGUGAUGAAUUCUCUGUAGAAGGCACUUACUAAAGCGACAAAAAUUGCAACGAAGAAAAAAAUAAUCCUGGUCUCCCACCAAAAUAUUUUCAUACAACAGACCAAAGAAACCAGUGGGAAAGUUGUUCUGAUUUCAGAGGACAAUGGAUAAAGUUCAGAGCAAAGCUGUAUGUUAUAAACACAUAUUUUGAUGCUGCAUGAUUCUUUUAUAAUCUCUAAAUAGCAGCAGCAGGAGAGCUCAAUAAGAGUCAGGACAAGUGAGGGGAGAAGGAGAUUUAUUAAGCUCUGAGCUGUAUGUCACACCUGCCUUCCCAAAACUGCUAUUUGUAUUAUGAGAAGCUAUUGUUCACAUGUCUUAUCUUAGAUCAGCGGUAGGGAACAUCCAGCCUGUAGGUCAGUCUUGGUCUGCCAGGGGGUCCAAUUUGACAUUCUAGGUAAUUUUCCCCAAACCAUGCCCACACACUCCCAGCUGACCACCUUCUUUAAACAGUUGGGCAGACAGGAGGGUAAAGGAGCUUGUAAAAUGUACAGAGAAUCAUAAAGCAAAAGUGCUCUUUGAAGUAGCCUCCCUACCCCAACAUUGCUUGAGCACUGCUUCAAAAAGCACUUCUGCAAAGCACUUAACACAGUCCCUGUUCUCCCAUCUGAGACUGUAGAAUGGAAGCAGGAGGACUGUCCUCAAGCACUUUGCAAAUUUGCUCUUUGAAGCAGCUUCCCGCUCUUCCUUCAAACAUCGCUUGAGAAAUAUUUAAAGGGGAGAGAUGGCUUAAAAUAGAUUUUGCAAAGCACUUUAAGCACUCUCCCCACUGCCUUUAACAUAGUGAUGUUAUAAGUAGGAGGGGCUGCUUGAAAUAACUUUUGCAAAGGGUUUUCAUAUGCCGACACUCCCUGCUCCUGGGAGCUCAUGUGGAAGUGUGGGGUUUGCCUUUGAAGAAGCUGUUGCAGAUUCCCAAGUGCUCAACAGCCAGCUGGCUGUUGGGCACUUGGAAACCCUAUUUUAUAAAUUAAAAAUAAAAAGUGGUUCAGUUCAUUAAUGAAUUAGUUUCCCUAUUUCACAGAUAAGCAUUCAUUUAAAAAACCCAGAUAAACUGAACCAUGCAAACAGCUGUUCUUUUGCUAAGCCAUUUGCACAGCAGAUGCAGGUGCCACUGGGAUUUUGGCAUUCCAGGCAGUUGCCUAGUUUGCUUCUAUAGUUAGACCAGCUCUGUGCAUUGCUAAGUGUGUUCUCACUGUGCUGCUAAUCGCUUUUAGUUGUGGGCUUAUGUAAACAUGGAAAUGUGCUCAAAUGUGGAAUAAGUGCUCAAAGUGUUUUUAUUUAAUAUUUGGGGUAGUGAGAAACCCUCUCUCUCACUUUAAAGGAUUGGGAAGUCCAAUCUCUGCAUAAAUGAGCACCUUAUUUGAAGAUGUCCAAACUCCUCAGCAAUCCUUACUUUUUGCAAAUUAAAGAUGCAAAAAGUGAAAAUGCCAAAAAUGAGUAAAUGAAAUGGACAGAUUAAUCCAUGUCUACUAUCAGCCUUGUGGGCUAGCAAGUGAAUAGCACAGACUAGCAAGUCCAGCAUAUCUUUGUAUUUGGGAGUGGAGGUGCAAUUCAACCAAGCCCUUAAACUAGAACUCUCAAUCGCUUUUCUCUAAGCAGUUACAACAAAUCUUGUGUGCAGAUGUAGAACUGUGACCCUAGUUUAUGCAUAUAGCAUCAGGGGAAUUGGAAUGAGGUGUCAUCAAUAUACAGAAGAUGCCCAGAUGCAGGUGCUGAACUGAGGUCUGGUGGUGAUAAUAGGUUGCAUGUAGGCCAGUAAAUUGAAACUGAAUCCAGACAACACUGACGUACUGUGACUUGAUGGGUUCUUGGUCCAGGAUUUGAAAGAUCACUUUGGGGUGCUCCUGAGGCCACAUUUGUCACAUUAAGCCCAGGUGGAUUCAGUGGCUGGGAAUAUCUUCCCAGCUGUAGCUGCUUCAUCAAAUAUAGUCUUUCCUGGACAGAGAGAGCUGGCCACAGUAUUUAAUAUAUAUGUAUUUCCUGCUCUGUGACUAUCUAGGAAAGGGUUGGCUAUAAACACUUGAAAUAAAUAUUCAAAUACUCUUGCAAUGUGGUUUUUACCAU